rnacentral:lncRNA from 1 species
UCCAUAGAUAUUUGUUGACCAACUAAUGCAAGAAUGGAAACUUAUAGAAAAAUGAAGUGCCAGGAGUGGCUGUGCCUUUCUCAGGAAGAACCCCCUGGAGGAUAUUUCAAUCAAAACAAAGCAGUAAACUAAGCGAAAGAAAUACAGAGGAAAACAAGGCUGUGGUCCAAGAAAGCGGACAGAGAAAACAAAGCAUGACAUACAGGAAACAGGAGACCAAGGGGAGGAAGGCAGAUGCAAUCCUCAGAAUGAUGAUUCGAGCUUCUGCCCCUGGGAGAGCAGAAGGUAGAGGACCUGGAGGCUCGAGUGUGUGAUCAGCUUCUCAGUUGCACGAUUCAUACAUUUCUGGUUGCCAAGGGAGGAACGUGCAGCGUCCAGCGUGAACCAGUGGG